AUUGAACGCUGGCGGCAGGCUUAACACAUGCAAGUCGAACGAGUGGCGGACGGGUGAGUAAUGCUUGGGAAUCUGCCUUAUGGAGGGGGAUAACUACGGGAAACGGUAGCUAAUACCGCAUACCAUAGGAUGAGCCCAAGUGGGAUUCGGUAGUUGGUGAGGUAAAGGCUCACCAAGCCGACGAUCCCUAGCUGGUCUGAGAGGAUGACCGGCCACACUGGGACUGAGACACGGUCCAGACGCCUACGGUAGGCAGCAGUGGGGAAUAUUGCGCAAUGGGCGCAACCCUGAUGCAGCCAUGCCGCGUGAAUGAAGAAGGCUUUCGGGUUGUAAAGUUCUUUCGGCAGGGAGGCGUUACCUACAGAAGAAGCACCGGCUAACUCCGUGCCAGCAGCCGCGGUAAUUC
rnacentral:rRNA from 1 species